GGGGACGACAGGCUUCGACGUGGGCGUUCCGUGAGGGCAGUUGCGAGCCGAGGUCCCGGUAGGCCUCGUAAAACAACCGGGAAACCAAUAAGUGCGGACUCACACGAGUACGCCCUCGCUGCCUAGCAAGAACUAGGUAUGUGAGGUGUCGGCCCUUCCUCGGCCCGUGGGGAGGGAACCGGCAUCAGCGAACGGGCUCGCUCGCCGCGAGCGCCCUCGGCGCGGCGGGGACAUCAAGAGGGCUGGCUUCCCGGGACCCCGUCGGCGCGGCGACCGGGAAGCGAGACACAAGAGCGCCGACUACGCUCGUAGACGCUGUCCUGCACGCGCCCGCGGACGUGGGUUCGAUUCCCACCGUCUCCAUCG
rnacentral:tmRNA from 1 species